rnacentral:rRNA from 1 species
AACACCCUUGACAGAGGUUUCGGCCAAUGAAGAGGAAUGUUUAGUGGCGGACUGGUGAGUAACGCGUGAGGAACCUGCCUUUCAGAGGGGGACAACAGUUGGAAACGACUGCUAAUACCGCAUGAAGCAGCGAGGGGACAUCCCCUUGCUGUCAAAGAUUUAUCGCUGAAAGAUGGCCUCGCGUCUGAUUAGCUAGUUGGUGGGGUAACGGCCCACCAAGGCGACGAUCAGUAGCCGGACUGAGAGGUUGACCGGCCACAUUGGGACUGAGAUACGGCCCAGACUCCUACGGGAGGCAGCAGUGGGGAAUAUUGGGCAAUGGACGCAAGUCUGACCCAGCAACGCCGCGUGAAGGAAGAAGGCUUUCGGGUUGUAAACUUCUUUUAACAGGGAAGAGAAGAAGACGGUACCUGUUGAAUAAGCCACGGCUAACUACGUGCCAGCAGCCGCGGUAAUACGUAGGUGGCAAGCGUUGUCCGGAUUUACUGGGUGUAAAGGGCGUGUAGCCGGGAAGGCAAGUCAGAUGUGAAAUCUGGAGGCUCAACCUCCAAACUGCAUUUGAAACUGCUUUUCUUGAGUAUCGGAGAGGUAAUCGGAAUUCCUUGUGUAGCGGUGAAAUGCGUAGAUAUAAGGAAGAACACCAGUGGCGAAGGCGGAUUACUGGACGACAACUGACG